rnacentral:other from 1 species
GUAAUAUGAGCCUGAACGGCUUGAUUCUCCUGAAUCAAUUGGCUUUAUUAUUACGAUGUUGUGUUUGCAUACUCGAUUUUCGAGUUAGGUAGAAUUCUACCACCUGUUUUGUGCAGUUAUCCCCUGUUACAAAACAUAUACUUCCUGUAUUUAUUUUGACCUGUCUGUCAAAUUUUUAGCACCGCCUAUUGGCGGUGUUUUUUUAU